rnacentral:rRNA from 1 species
GAUGAACGCUGGCGGCGUGCCUAAUACAUGCAAGUCGAGCGAACGGACGAGAAGCUUGCUUCUCUGAUGUUAGCGGCGGACGGGUGAGUAACACGUGGAUAACCUACCUAUAAGACUGGGAUAACUUCGGGAAACCGGAGCUAAUACCGGAUGAUAUUUUGAACCGCAUGGUUCAAAAGUGAAAGACGGUCUUGCUGUCACUUAUAGAUGGAUCCGCGCUGCAUUAGCUAGUUGGUAAGGUAAUGGCUUACCAAGGCAACGAUGCAUAGCCGACCUGAGAGGGUGAUCGGCCACACUGGAACUGAGACACGGUCCAGACUCCUACGGGAGGCAGCAGUAGGGAAUCUUCCGCAAUGGGCGAAAGCCUGACGGAGCAACGCCGCGUGAGUGAUGAAGGUCUUCGGAUCGUAAAACUCUGUUAUUAGGGAAGAACAUAUGUGUAAAUAACUGUGCACAUCUUGACGGUACCUAAUCAGAAAGCCACGGCUAACUACGUG